GGACCCGCGUCUGAUUAGCUAGUUGGUAAGGUAACGGCUUACCAAGGCGACGAUCAGUAGCCGACCUGAGAGGGUGAUCGGCCACAUUGGAACUGAGACACGGUCCAAACUCCUACGGGAGGCAGCAGUGGGGAAUAUUGCACAAUGGGCGAAAGCCUGAUGCAGCAACGCCGCGUGAGUGAUGAAGGCCUUCGGGUCGUAAAACUCUGUCCUCAAGGAAGAUAAUGACGGUACUUGAGGAGGAAGCCCCGGCUAACUACGUGCCAGCAGCCGCGGUAAUACGUAGGGGGCUAGCGUUAUCCGGAUUUACUGGGCGUAAAGGGUGCGUAGGCGGUCUUUCAAGUCAGGAGUGAAAGGCUACGGCUCAACCGUAGUAAGCUCUUGAAACUGGGAGACUUGAGUGCAGGAGAGGAGAGUGGAAUUCCUAGUGUAGCGGUGAAAUGCGUAGAUAUUAGGAGGAACACCAGUUGCGAAGGCGGCUCUCUGGACUGUAACUGACGCUGAGGCACGAAAGCGUGGGGAGCAAACAGGAUUAGAUACCCUGGUAGUCCACGCUGUAAACGAUGAGUAC
rnacentral:rRNA from 1 species